UGUGUGCACCAGAAUUCCAAUGGUGAUUACAUGGGAUAUCAUAACAAUUUCAAUUCACAAAAAAAAUCAGUAAAAACAUCUUGAUUGUGCUUUCCUUUAUUAUACUUUUCAAAGUUUGCUUUUAGCACAUGCUCUGUGUUUCUUGUAUGCGUGGACACCUCACUUUGUUCCGGAGUUGGAAGCGGUCAGUUUUCUGUUUCUUGGCCAUUUAGAGCCUGUCGAAGUAGAGGAGCUGGUUAAAGUUUGUGCCUUUAACUGGUGGAUAGUUGGGAUUGUUGAUAGAUUUGCCAGCAAAGAUUUUGAGUGCUAAAAACAAGAAGGUUGAGGGGAUAAAGAGAAGUGCUGUUUCUGUGAAGGUGAAGAUGGCAGAGAAUGUCCAUUUCUUGGAAUGAAUGAUUGUUGAGAUAAGGCAAACAUGUGUAGGGGAAUAGCUUUAAAGCUUAGCCUGGAAACAUCCCAUGCGCUGUAACUUUUGGAUGUGGAAGCUAGGAAAAUGACAUGAACGAAACAGAACGGAGCACUCCUUAUCUUUUGCACAAGUAAUAUCUGGAUAGUGAUGAUUCAAAUUAAAGUCACUAAUGCUAAAUUAAAGCUUGAUAACGAUGAUUAGAUUCAAGCUGCUUGUUGCUGGUGGCACAUAGUUUAGAAAAGGAAAAUAGGACAAAUGAAAAUUUUCCUUGCAAAUUUUAUCUCCAAGGUGAAAAAAGUCGUGCGACAUCUGCAGCUAACAUACCGGUAGAAAUCACAGUUGUAUAUGUGUAUCAAUGUAAACAGUACAAACAAGAUUCACCAGGCCAUAAUUCUUUGCUUGACAUAUUUUACCUUCAUGACUUGGUCCUUCCAAUUGCACGAAGAUGCAGACUUCCUUCAAUGUGAAGUGUGAACAUUGUCCUGUAAGUUAUUUUUCUUGUGUCAUCAGCUAAUUUGAAGCGGAAGAACCGAAGAAGGGCUAUUGAUAGUAUCUUCAUCUGCCGGUACGCGAAGUCUUUGCCCAGACAUAUCCGAGGACCUGCCUGCAAGGGGGCAACCAACAACUUCGGAAAUUGUUUCACACGUUAUGGCUGCAACAAACGAAGAGAAGAUACUAACAUGAAAUGCUAUGAACUUGAAUGGCGAUUCAGGUUGGAAAAUCCCACUGUUGAGCCAUCUUUCUGGCCGAAAAUCCUCGGCAUCGUCUCCCCAAAUGUAAGGCAUCCUACCCAUGGCAUAUGCCAUAUAGUAUAGUCCGUCACCCUUUUUCAUUCUAAAGCCAUCAGGAAGAAUGUCAUCCACUUCUGCACACCUCUAGUUCUUGUGAAUUCUUGACAACUUGGGAGUAAUGCUUGAUUUCUUUCAACAUGCAUGUCUGUGUUAUUAGCUACGUAAAGUUAAACAUUGAAUUAGAUUGGUCGAAAAUUGUUCGCGGAGAACUCUUGUGGUGAAAGUUCAUGCUCACUUGAAACUUGACUUCUUGAAGUUUUUGUCAUUAUGACUGUUUUACAUUGCUAAAAUUGCUUUAGAAUUGGGUACUUAUACCACCAUGAAACAUGUAGAAAGUUGGCUAAUACAGAAUAGAGUAGAGGGAAAUCAUCCAUGUAACUGAUCACAACUAUGUUUGGGAAUAAGGCUUUGCUGAGUAGAGUGCUUUCACUGAUUCACUCAUAUGAGGAAGGAGCUAGAUACUGAGUUUGCUAGUUCUGCAUCUAACUCAUGAUGUGGCCCUCAGACUCUCUCUGGGAUGUAUUAAGUAUGAGCAAGUAUGUGCCAUGGGUCUCAUCUUGUUAUCUCAUUUUUACAGGGAAAACCUUUUACUCAGGAAGCUAAUGUGAUUUUUGUAAUGGUAGUGCCUGUGACUAACCUAAUUUUUGCAAUGAAAGCUACUUCAUGACAGCUAUUUAUGUCUGCAUUUUAUUUUUAGAAAUGUUAACUAUUUGUUUCGAGUGCAAUACUCGGACCUGAUGUGUUUGUGGUCAGCUGGUCGACACAGAGUUUCCAAGAAUUUUGGAUCAACGGUAGGAUUUUUGUUAGGGGGGCAUGCACUUAUAAUUGCCGCGGGCAGAAUGUUAAGGCUACGGGUUAAUGCAUUAAACUUGCCAAGGACUUAGUGGAGGAUAUCACUCUAUUAUGGCCCCUGUAGGUUUUUUCUCUAGUUUGAAGAGGAUGCUACAAGGAUUCAUGUAGUGGACUUGGUGUACUUGAAAUUCUGUUCAAUUUCAUUUCUAAUUUGGCUGCAUGUGAAUUCAAAUUUUAGUAUCUAAACCCCAUUCACAGGCAUGUUCAAGCAUAUGGUUGUUGAACAUCUACAUGAUCACAUUUUAAUAUGUGGAAGAAAAACAAAGAAAUCCGAGGAGAGUCAGGACUUUCCUGGACGUGAGCAGAUACAGUUUGGAGAUGUGGUCCAAGCUCCCCCAAAGCUUACUGCCCCUUCUAAGGUUUCCUUUCAUCAGCGAGUUUAAAAAUGAAACUGCCCAACAAGACAGCCGCGAAGAUCUUCAUCUGCCUAUAAGCAAAUUCCUUCCCAAGACAUAUCCGUGGCCCUGCCUGUUAACCAGCAGAAAGGCAGAUUUUAGUCAUUUGGUCAACGAGAUUGGGAGUCCAUAAAGUUAAGCUGAGCAAGCACUGAAAAUAGAUCUUAAUGAUUUGCACAGCAAAGGCAGCAGAAAAUUUAUUUGAAUGUUAAUCAAGUGAAUUAGACAGAUCUUUAUUUCCACUAACCUGGAAAGCUGUAAACUUGAAAGGGCUUUCUUGCUGAAACACGCCAUCCUCAUUGAGCCAUCUUUCAGGCUUGUAUUCCUCAGCAUCAUCGCCCCAUAUGAACUUCAUCCUGCCCAUUGCAUAAGGUUGCCAGGAAUUGCAAGUGCACAUAAUUUCUUCUUACCACAGGCACAGAUGGAUACAGUCGAAGAGUUUCAGUAAUUGCUGCAUGGAGAUAGUUCAUCUUUUCUAGAGCUUCAUCAUUAAUACUGGCUGCAAAUUCUGCAAAAUUUGUGAUCUCUUUCACUUUAGUUGCUUCUCUUACUUCUUGUGCAACCUUUUUCUGCACGGCUGGAUACUUGCACAACAUGUAGAUGAACCAUGAUAGAGCAGCUGCUGUUGUGUCUUUUCCAGCAAUCACAAAAUUGAGAAUUAUGUCCCCUUCCGAUCCAAUAUUAAAAAACCUCUUGAUUUUCCAGAACACGUCAACAUAUCGCCAAAGGGUCAAUGCACUUGCAUCAUCAAAAGCACUGGUAAAUUUGACACCUUCUUCAUUGGAUCCACACAUGCUGUCUAGCUCAACCCCAAAUGCAACUUUGAAUAUCGAAUCUAAGGUUGAUUUCAUAAACA